rnacentral:rRNA from 1 species
UGAGGAAUAUUGGACCAUGGGCGCAAGCCUGAUCCAGCCAUGCCGCGUGCAGGAAGAAGCAUCUAUGGUGUGUAAACUGCUUUUGUACGGGAAGAAACACUCCUACGUGUAGGAGCUUGACGGUACCGUCAGAAUAAGGAUCGGCUAACUCCGUGCCAGCAGCCGCGGUAAUACGGAGGAUCCAAGCGUUAUCCGGAAUCAUUGGGUUUAAAGGGUCCGUAGGCGGCUUAAUAAGUCAGUGGUGAAAGCCCAUCGCUCAACGAUGGACCGGCCAUUGAUACUGUUGGACAUGAAGUACAAGGAAGUAGAUAGAAUAAGUAGUGUAGCAGUGAAAUGCUUAGAUAUUACAUGGAAUACCAAUUGCGAAGGCAGGUUACUACUUGUAGAUUGACGCUGAUGGGCGAAAGCGUGGGGAGCAAACA